UUUUCUCCAUCGUCAUGACUGAUUCUUUGACUUGGCACAUGGAGGAUGUUAGGAUCUUCCUCUAGCUGCUCAAGGUGAUUUCCGGGCUCAGUUAACCUUUAAACAUCGAAUCAACACCAAGAAACCAAAAGGGACCGACCGCCGGCGUGCUUUCUUCCUAUGGUUGCUAUUGCUCCUUUUGCUUGUUGUUUCCUCACUCACUUAGGAUGAAUGCCACACAGGUAAGGGUCACAAUGACUCAAGCAAGAAGUAGAGAAGAUCAAUCAAUAGGAUGCACGAAGAAGAAGAAGGGACUGCCUCUCUCUCGGGUUCUAUCAAAACGAGACUCAUAGGAAGAAAGAGAGUUACCAAUAUAUAUAAUAGUCCAAUGACAAACUUAAGGUAAGUUAUACAUAUGGUAAGUAGGCUCGACUAGGGUUAUGGCCCAAUAGCACACCAACAAACCACAAAGGUUAUUAGCCAUCCAAUAGGUAAAACAACGUUAGGUCGGGUCAUCUCAUUAUUCGGUGUUGAUUUAUCGUUCAGUCAUUCAUGUCGACUGAUAAAACUGGUUUUCAUCAUCGCCCGGGAGGUCGUUUGACAACAUGAUGUCUAACAACCUCCACCUUGGUGUCAAAGGACCUGCAAAGAAAAACGUUUUCCAUUAGUGAGACCUCUAACAGAAAACCGAUAAAAUUGGAAAUCAUUUACCUGUACCGAUGUUUAGAAGCUCCUUGCAACUUUUAAACUUUACCAGUGGCAGCACUUUCGUGCCCAUAUCUGAAGGAUUAUAUUGUGUGUGAAUUUUUUCAAGUCUUACUACUUCUUGUGAUAUCUUAUCCCUAAUGAAGUGUAACCUAACAUCGAUAUAUUUAGUGCGUUCGUGAAAAACAGGAUUCUUACACAGAUGUAUGGAUGACUGACUAUUAGAAUACAUAACCACAUACUCAUUCAAGACACUCAGUUCAUGAAGUAGACCUCUAAGCCAUAGAGCCUCUUUAAUUGCUUCAGUGGUGGCAAUAUAUUCUGACUCUGUAGUGGAUAGUGCAACUAUGUGUUGUAACUGUGAUUUCCAACUAACACACGAAUUUGAUAAGGUGAAUACGUAAGAGGAAGUUGAUUUCCUACCAUCCCUAUCUCCUGCAUAGUCAGCAUCUACAAAAUCCUUUAAUUUCACGCCUUCCUUAUUAGCACUAAAUUUUAGACCUACGUCACUUGUACCCUUCAAAUAUCUUAAAAGUCACUUUAAUGCCUCCCAAUGUUCAGGACUUGGAUUAGACAUGUACCUACUGAGAGUACUAACAGCGAAUCCUAAGUCCGGUCUAGUGUAAACCAUCAAAUACAUUAUGGAACCAAUCACAUUUGAGUAUGAAAUUUUACUCAUGUAUUCCACUUCACGUUCAUUGCAGGGAGCUUGUUCUUUAGAUAAAACAAAAUGGUUUGCAAGAGGCAACGUGACAGGUUUGCAGUCACUCAUAUUAAACAUUUUCAACACCUUUGAUAUGUACGGAGACUGAUGCAAGAAUGCGAUGAAAUUUGACCUAUUUCAUUCUAUUUCCAUGCCUAGAAUCCUUUUAGCCUUUCAUAAGUCUUUCAUGUCAAAUUUUCCACUAAGAUUUGCUUUUAUAUUGUUUAUCCACUUAGGAGAUGAUCCAACUAAAAGCAUGUCGUCCACAUAGAGCAACAAGAACAAAUAAUUGUUAUCAGUCUCGUUGUGUUGAAAGUAUAGGUAGUGAUCGAAUUUACUUCUUUGAAAUCCUAUAGUGAGUACAAAGGAAUCAAACCUCUUGUACCACUGUCUAAGUGAUUGCUUUAGACCGUAUAGGGAUCUUUUCAGAAAACACACAUAAUCAGGUUUUAAUUUGUCUUUAAAACCUUUUGGUUGAUUCAUAAAGAUUUGUUCAUCAAGCUCUCCAUGUAAAAAAACGAUUUUUACAUCGAGUUGUUCAAGUUCCCAGUCAAAGAGUGCAACCAAUGCGAGCAUGACCCUAAUAGUAGUGUACUUGACAACUGGUGAGAAAAUCUCGUUAUAAUCAACACCUUCUUUCUGUGUGUAACCCUUCGCUACUAACCUAGCCUUAAAUCUUAAGGGUUCUGUACUACUAGUACCUUCCUUAACCUUAAAGACCCACUUGCAAUCAACGAUUGAUUUAUUCUUAGGUCUCGGUACUAACUCCCAAGUUUGAUUCUUUUCUAGAGAACUCAUCUCUUCUUUCAUAGCCUUAAGCCACUCCUUAGAUUGACCACUAUUCAUAGCCUCUUCAAAAGUUUCCGGCUCCCUAUCAACUAGUUCUUCGUAACUAGCGUAUGCAAAAUCCAAUUCAGAUUCAAACCCGAACCUCCUAGGUUCUCUCGUUUGUCUUCUCUCUCUAUCUCUAACUAAAUUAUAGUUAGCUAAUGGAUUUUCUUCCUCAGGAUGCUCUUCUAUCACUAUUUCAUUUUCCUCUUCAAGUUCUUGGACCUGAAUCUCCACCUCACUCGAAGUACUAGGUACUGAUGUGUUAAAUUUUCCUAACUCGGCCUUAAACCGAUUUCUUUCUUCACCUGAUUCAGUUUCACUUACAGGUUCGGUUUCGUUCCUUAGACGAGGCAUCUCACUCUCAUUAAAUGUGACAUCCCUACUCACGAUGAUCUUAACUCCUUUUUGGCUAACUCCUUCGGGAUAUCCUAGAAAGACACACUUCCUGACUCUAGGUUCUAAUUUUCCCUCACUUUGAUGAGAGAAAACAGCACAGCCAAACGCUGUAAGUAUUAAGUAGUCACCCAAUUUUCCAGACCAUUUCUCAUGUGGAGUAUCACCAUUUAAUGCAGCCGAUGGAGUCAAAUUUAUCAGAUAACAGGCAGUUACAACGGCUUCACCCCAAAAUGACUUAGGAAUCCCAGAGCUUAACAUCAUGCAGCGCACUUUAUCUAGUAUGGUCCUAUUCAUUCUUUCUGCUACCCCGUUUUGCUGGGGAGUAUAAGGAACCGUUUUGUGCCUUGUUAUUCCACUUUCUUUACACAUCCUAUCGAAUUCAGCAUUACAGAAUUCUAGGCCGUUAUCUGUCCUUAAAAAUUUGAUCCUCUUGCUAGUUUGGUUUUCCAUUUGUUUCUUCCAGUUGUUAAAGUUAUGGAAGGUUUCAGUUUUGUCUUUCAAUAGAUAGACCCACACUUUCCCGGUGUAGUCAUCUAUGAUAGAUAGGAAAUACCUAUUCCCAUCCGAUGUGGGGAUUACUAGUAGGACCCCACAUAUCAGAAUGCACAUAUUCAAGCAUGCUUUUAGCCUUAUGCGUACUAGUGAUCACAGAACUCUAUGGUGCUUUCCGAGUACACAGUGAUCACAGAACGAUAGGUUAGACACACAGUCAUUACCAAAUGCACCUUUUUCAUUAAGUAGCUUAAGUCCCUUAAUGCCUACGUGUGCAAGCCUACUAUGCCACGUAUGUGUGUAAUCGAUUUUGGCGGAAGAAAUAGAGGAGUUUAAUCCUCUAAUUACUUCCCCAGUAGUGAUGUAAAUAUCGUUUUUCUUGAUUCCCUUAAUAGAGAUUAACGCACCCUUCAUCAUUUUAAACAUAUCGUUUCCAAUUUUACCGGUGAAGUUGUCUUUCUCAAGUCUUCCUACUGAAAUCAAAUUCCUAGAUAAUUCAGGGAUGUAUCUAACUUCCUUUAACAUGUACACAAAGCCCGUGUUAAAUUUUAUCUUUAUAUCUCCAAUUCCAACAAUUGUAUAGGCAAAGUUAUCACACAGAACUACUUGCCCAUCAUUAGAUUCUUGCAAGUUUUCAAACCAG
rnacentral:lncRNA from 1 species